rnacentral:rRNA from 1 species
AUUGAACGCUGGCGGCAUGCCUUACACAUGCAAGUCGAACGGCAGCGGACCUUCGGGUGCCGGCGAGUGGCGAACGGGUGAGUAAUAUAUCGGAACGUACCUUUCAGUGGGGGAUAACGUAGCGAAAGUUACGCUAAUACCGCAUAUUCUGUGAGCAGGAAAGCAGGGGAUCGCAAGACCUUGCGCUGAUUGAGCGGCCGAUAUCAGAUUAGCUAGUUGGUGAGGUAAAGGCUCACCAAGGCGACGAUCUGUAGCGGGUCUGAGAGGAUGAUUCCGCCACACUGGAACUGAGACACGGUCCAGACUCCUACGGGAGGCAGCAGUGGGGAAUUUUGGACAAUGGGCGCAAGCCUGAUCCAGCCAUGCCGCGUGAGUGAAGAAGGCC